rnacentral:rRNA from 1 species
UGCGAAGGGUGCGAGCGUUAUUCGGAAUCACUGGGCGUAAAGGGUGCGUAGACGGUAUGUUAAGUUCGUUGUUAAAGGCUCCGGCCUAACUGGAGUUCUGCGAUGAAAACUGGCAAGCUAGAGGGUGAGAGAGAGAAGUGGAAUUCCCGGAGCAGCGGUAAAAUGCGUGGAUCUCGGGAGGAACACCAAUGGCGAAGGCAGCUUCUUGGCUCAUUCCUGACGUUGAGGCACGAAAGCGUGGGGAGCAAACAGG